rnacentral:rRNA from 1 species
CGAAGCUGGAAUCGCUAGUAAUCGCGAAUCAGAAUGUCGCGGUGAAUACGUUCCCGGGUCUUGUACACACCGCCCGUCACACCAUGGGAGUCAGCAACGCCCGAAGUCAGUGACCCAACCGAAAGGAGGGAGCUGCCGAAGGCGGGGCAGGUAACUGGGGUGAAGUCGUAACAAGGUACC